GAUGAACGCUGGCGGCGUGCCUAAUACAUGCAAGUCGAGCGAACAGACGAGGAGCUUGCUCCUCUGACGUUAGCGGCGGACGGGUGAGUAACACGUGGAUAACCUACCUAUAAGACUGGGAUAACUUCGGGAAACCGGAGCUAAUACUGGAUAAUAUAUUGAACCGCAUGGUUCAAUAGUGAAAGACGGUUUUGCUGUCACUUAUAGAUGGAUCCGCGCCGCAUUAGCUAGUUGGUAAGGUAACGGCUUACCAAGGCAACGAUGCGUAGCCGACCUGAGAGGGUGAUCGGUCACACUGGAACUGAGACACGGUCCAGACUCCUACGGGAGGCAGCAGUAGGGAAUCUUCCGCAAUGGGCGAAAGCCUGACGGAGCAACGCCGCGUGAGUGAUGAAGGUCUUCGGAUCGUAAAACUCUGUUAUUAGGGAAGAACAAAUGUGUAAGUAACUAUGCACGUCUUGACGGUACCUAAUCAGAAAGCCACGGCUAACUACGUG
rnacentral:rRNA from 1 species